GCCUUUGAAACAUUUGUGGAUCUCUUUGCGUCAAAGUCUUCUGGUCCCCCAAGCACAUAAGUGACCAUACUUGUGAGCCAUCUGCCCACGGGAAAGAAGGAAGUGGACUGGGUCUGUUGGAUCCUCCGUUUGAUGUUGAUGGAUUGCUGCUGCUGCUGCUGCUGCUGUUGGGGUGUCCGCAGGCCAUCUGCAGCUGAAGCAGCUGAGCUGCAAGAUUCACUGGAGGGUGUGUGAACAGAGGAUAAUGAUGCAACUUUUUUGGGGGGAUAAAUGUUUUCUGCAUCUUCUGAUAGCUCUGUAUUACGGCGUUUUCGUUUCAACGUCUGUGGUCGAUUAUUGGCAACCAGAUGCACCUGUGAUGGUUGUUUCUCCUGUAAGCUGAAAGUUAAAUCCCAGUAUUCAGAAGCAUGUAUUCCCAAAUUUAUUAUAAUUCUUUCACAACUUGUCAUCAUAGUUUUUCAUAUCACUGUUGCAAUUCAAUUAUUGAUCUUUAUCUUUGAUAAGCAUAUAAGUUGUUAUAUUACUUGGACAAUUCACAACUGUACACAAUUUGUGAGUUGUUGUUGCAUAGCAAUUGGAGCCAAAUGUUUUGGAUUCGAGUGAGGCAUGUUUUUAUAAUUGGAGUAGUUCAUUACUUUUGGUUAAGUAGGACUAGAAUCAAGGAAAAGUGAGUGAAUUAUCGAUAUAUAGAAUGAUGUCAAACUUUGAAUUGCAAUUAUUAAAUAACCUGUUGAUAUGGUGUUGAGGUAGUCAACGAACUCACUCUCUUUGGACCAAUAAGGCGUGACCUUUAUUGUGGAAUUUUUCACAAAAUAAAGUUCUGUGUUUAAAAAAU